CUUUCUUUGCUGGCGACCGGCGCACGGGUGAGUAACACGUAUCCAACCUGCCCUUUACUCGGGGAUAGCCUUUCGAAAGAAAGAUUAAUACCCGAUAGCAUAAUGAUUCCGCAUGGUUUCAUUAUUAAAGGAUUCCGGUAAAGGAUGGGGAUGCGUUCCAUUAGGUUGUUGGUGAGGUAACGGCUCACCAAGCCUUCGAUGGAUAGGGGUUCUGAGAGGAAGGUCCCCCCCAUUGGAACUGAGACACGGUCCAA
rnacentral:rRNA from 1 species